UUCUCGGUUAAUUCUUUUUCCCUUUGUAGCUAUCAUGGGAAAUAACAUCGGUAAAAUAUGUAAAUUGCCCUAAAUAUAUUAAGGUAAUUAUUCAUUGGACUGACGGAUACCUUGAUCGAUGGCCCACCAAACUGGCUAUUGUGCUCCUAAUUUGGCGCUUUGUCUUAGUUAUAGAGGUAGAAACAAAACAAGCCAGCAUAGAAAAUGACGCUCAAAGUUUUAAGAAAAAAAUAAGGGAGGCAGGUCCAGUUUCAAAGAAUCUUAAUAAUGUUAACCCAUUAUUAUCUCU